GGGCGCGUAGCUCAGUGGGAGAGCAUCCGCCUUACAAGCGGAGGGUCGCAGGUUCGAAACCUGCCGCGCCCACCA
rnacentral:tRNA from 1 species